AGCAGAAGUAUCCUGCAAUACUUCAUUCUAACUACUGUGCCACCAUGGCUGAUCCAUUUCUUUUCUUAGUUAAAUUGUCUGCAAAACUUUUUUUCCCUAUGCAUCAGUUUUCACCAAAAGGAAUCUUGUAUUUAUAAUCUGUAUGGGAUCUCACCAACUUGCAAAGGAAAAGUUACAUUAAGAGGUGGACUGCUUCCUAUUUAAUGGCUUCACACAGGUAAAUGAUACAGUUUGUAUACAUAACAAUGAGAAAGACAGAAGGACAAAAAUUAUUAAACCAAAGAAGGCAAGUAAAAAGCAUUUGGACAAACACACCAAAAGCCACCCAAGACAAACUUUCUGUUUUUGUAGAAAUAGAAUAUACAUUUCUAUACAACAAUCUGUAUCCAAACUUUAUAACACUGGGAUAUCCCCGAAUCUUAAACUUGAACGAGGGAAGCAGUUUUGCUCACAGGCUUAAUGCAAUGGUGGGUUGUGUUGAAGAAAGCUGAGUGAAAUCUACAAUACUAAAAUACAACAUAGCAAUAUAAUACACUCAAAUAUCAUACCAGUUUUUAAUGCUGCCAGCGCAUUGAUUAAAAGAAAUAUAUGAAUCCCCUUCCCUUUUACAAACCACGUCCUUCAUUAAAAAUGCCUUCAUAAUUUUAAGAUCAGUGUACCAACAAAAGUAAUUCAAUGCAGAACCCUUCAUUUUUCAUUAAUCGUAUCCAUUACAAACCACAGCAGCAUAAUAGAACAAAACCAGAGCCAUAUACAUAUACAUAGAUAUGUCUACAGCAACAUAUGCAUGAGUGUGUAUGUAUUUCACUGCAUAAAAAAUCUGCAGCGGAGAGUUUCAGUAGAUCUUUGUAUUUUUUUAGUCAAAAGACAUAGAGCAAAUAUGAUUAUUCUAACUACAGGAGUUCUUCAGGCUUUUGAAAACUAUUUGCACAAGAAUAUAAA